rnacentral:rRNA from 1 species
GAAAGGAUAGCUAAUACCGCAUAUUCUGUGAGCAGGUAAGCAGGGGAUCGCAAGACCUUGCGCUGAUUGAGCGGCCGAUAUCAGAUUAGCUAGUUGGUGAGGUAAAGGCUCACCAAGGCGACGAUCUGUAGCGGGUCUGAGAGGAUGAUCCGCCACACUGGAACUGAGACACGGUCCAGACUCCUACGGGAGGCAGCAGUGGGGAAUUUUGGACAAUGGGCGCAAGCCUGAUCCAGCCAUGCCGCGUGAGUGAAGAAGGCCUUCGGGUUGUAAAGCUCUUUCGGCCGGGAAGAAAUCGCACAGGUUAAUACCCUGUGUGGAUGACGGUACCGGAAUAAGAAGCACCGGCUAACUACGUG